rnacentral:rRNA from 1 species
GUCUACGCCCAUGCCACUCUGAACAAGCCCAAUCCCGUCUGAUCUCGGAAUCUAAGCAGGGUCGGGCCUGGUUAGUACUUGGAUGGGAGACCACCUAGGAAAGGAAGACCAGGUGCUGUAGGCG